rnacentral:rRNA from 1 species
AACGAACGCUGGCGGCAUGCCUAACACAUGCAAGUCGAACGAGACCUUCGGGUCUAGUGGCGCACGGGUGCGUAACACGUGGGAAUCUGCCCUUCGGUUCGGAAUAACUCAGGGAAACUUGAGCUAAUACCGGAUGACGACGUAAGUCCAAAGAUUUAUCGCCGAAGGAUGAGCCCGCGUAGGAUUAGGUAGUUGGUGGGUAAAGGCCCACCAAGGCGACGAUCCUUAGCUGGUCUGAGAGGAUGAUCAGCCACACUGGGGCUGAGACACGGCCCAGACUCCUACGGGAGGCAGCAGUAGGGAAUAUUGGACAAUGGGGGCAACCCUGAUCCAGCAAUGCCGCGUGAGUGAUGAAGGCCUUAGGGUUGUAAAGCUCUUUUACCCGGGAUGAUAAUGACAGUACCGGGAGAAUAAGCCCCGGCUAACUCCGUGCCAGCCGCCGCUGUAACAC